GUGUGUGUGUGUGUGUGUGUGUGUGUGUGUGUGUAUGUAUAUAUAUGUUGGCCAAAAUUCAGCCACAGCAACAUUUGAUGGUUUUUCUCAGACUGUCACACAAAUAUUAUACAGUGUCUGUAAAAGCUAAACAGAGUUUAGGCAUCGAUAAAACAUUUCUGUAAAAGAUAGAUGAGUGCACUAUACUUUAAAAGAACCCUUUAAAGAGAAAUUCAGUGAAGAUGUGUGUGUGUGUGUGUUUAUAAAAUAACUGUUUUGCUCCAAUUGUAAAAGUAACCACUAAACUACUAUGAACAUAAAACAGGCAUGGAUCCAUAAGCAUCGCCUUAAACAAUGAUUUAAAGUGUAAUUCUUUCUCCUCACACUAUAUAAUGCUACAUUUACUGUAUGCUCAUAUUUAUAUAGUCCUGCCAUUCAAGGGAUAAAUCUUUGAUAAGAAGUGUGAAAGAAUUCUUUCAUUGAUUUAUUGAUUUAUUUGCCUUCAUCUGGAUGAUUUUUGCAUCCUUUGCCACUGGACACAAGGCAGGAAUACACCCUUAAAGAGAUGCCGCUGCAGGUCAACAUGCACACUCGUUCACAUCUAGGAGCAAUUUAGAGUAGGCAGUCCAUCAACAGGCAUGUUUUUGUGAGGAAACCAGAGGCCCUGGAGGAAACUCAUGCAGACAUGAGGAGAACAUGCACAUAGACAGUUCAGGAUCGAACCAGGGACCUUGGAGCUGUGAGUUGUCUUAUUGUCGUAGUGCUUCAAUAUCUAUGAAGGGACCUGUAAGUAAACGCUUGGAAUAGGCAUGGGAGGCAGCAUACAUAACCACACUGCUACGUUACAAACACAAGAUACAUAUCCCAUAAUCCUGUGCGUCAGUCAAUCUGAAAAACAAAACUAAACAAAACAAAAACAAAGAAUGAUCAUGCCUCGACUAACAGACUUUUAACUUUAAUGGCCUUAUCAUAUGUUUUUAACGUAGCCGUGUGGUGAUAUACGCAGUCUCCUCCGCCUGUGUCGAAGCAUUUCCUUACAAGUACCUUCAUAGAUAUGGACGCACUAUGAUUAUAAGACAACUCACAGCUCCAAGGUCCCUGAUUCGAUCUUGAACUCAGGUUACGUGGAGUUUCAGUGUAUGUUCUAACCGUGUCUGCGUGAGUUUCCUCCUGGGUCUCUGGUUUCCUCUCAAAAACAUGUCUAUUAAUGGACUGGCUACUCUAAAUUGCUCCUCGAUGUGAAUGUGUGUGUGCAUGUUGACUUGCGUUGAUGUCCCAUUAAUGGGUAUAUAUUCCUGUCCAGAGAAGGGCUCCAGAUCCACCAAAAAUCCUGACCAGGAUAAAGGGGUUACUAAAGAAGGAAUGACAGAACAGGCAGAAAGGCAUCAAAGCAGCUGCUUUCCUUUUUGUACACACUUGAUAUAUUCUUCUUGGGCACUGGCCAGAUUUUAGGAACAGUAUUUUGACAUGUGUUUAAGGUUUGUUGUUGUAUGUACGCUGAGAACUGUGGAAUGCGUAAGCUAGCUCUGUCUACACUCCCUAACUGCAGGGCCAAGACUGUAAGCGAGGCUCUGAGCACACUUCACUAACUGCAUGUCUGCGCAUCAUUCCUUUGAAAAGUUUGUCAGUGUGACAGCGUCACAGGGGUUUUUGACGCCGUCUGUCACGCUAAAACUCACGCCUGCUUCUGUCGCCGUCAGCUCUUAUCACCGCUCAUUCCUUAAGUUUGUGCUCGCAAAAUAUUCUGCCAAAUAUUACCACCUCCCGCCCCCGUCCGGGAGAGAAUAUGAAAGUGUGAAAUAAUCUCUUUCUCUCAGUUUUAUCUAGGAGUCAUCCUUCAUCCCAGUGCUCAAACAUUCAGGAUUUUCAUCAGUCACUCAACUGAAAAGAAAAGGGAAAAAAAAAAGAAAAAAAGAAGCACGUUAAUGUUUUGAUGUUCAUCUUCUCGAAUAUGAACCAGCAUGACAACCUUAGCGCUCUGAUUCUUUUAAUAUCUCCCAGAAUUAUUUCAUUUCACCUUGGGUUAAAUGCUACUGUCAGAACAUGACUGCAUGUGAAUUUGCCGCAUGCUGAAAACAAUGAUGAGGGGAUGCGGGGGAGGCGUACGUGUGUGCUUUAAUUGCAUUACAAGACAAACAUUUAGGAGCAUAAUACAAAAUAGCAGAGGCACAAUUUUACAGAGCGCAGCCGCAUAAAAACACAGUGCCUCAGAUCAAUUUUGGCAUAUCCAUCACAAUGCCCUAUCAGCGAGGUGCAGAGUAACCUGAUUUAAGGCUGAUUAAUUGGAUUUGUAGGAGGGACACAGAGGGGUGGAGGGGCUCCCAGACAAAAACAAAAGCCCGAGAUUAAUCGCUCGCCCGCGCCAUAACGCUGCUUAGAAAAGCCCAUCUUGAAACAGUUCUUCGACGAAGAAACGACUGCACGAUUCACGCAUAACUUGCUGCCACCGGCGAUGCUUUCCCUCCAACUCGGCUUGUCAGGUGUAAUCAUUUUGUUCAGCUUAAUGUUUUAUGCAAAUGCACUCGAGGGUAAGGUUAGGGUGCUGCUGGGGUGGAGGAUUUGUUGUCUAGCGUGUGUUGUUUUUUUCAAGUGCUCAAAAAAAAAUAUUUGCACUUCUCUGAACAUUGCCCUGAUUAUUUCCUGCUUGCAUCUGUGGGGUUUUGUCUUUGCUGCGUGUGUGUGUCUCCGGUGGGGAUCACAGAGUGUGUGGCACAUCACAAAACCGCCAGCAGCAUAGCUCCCCAAACCCACUGGAGAGAAGAGUAAAGUACAGGACUACAGCAUACCUAAACACUCACUUCCUUUAUUAUACACACCUCACAUGCCAUUGCAUUGGGUGCAACAGAUGUAUGUACUGCAAUCUCCAUUUGAAUAACAGGUUUAUCCACAUAACUGCUUAAAGAAAAAGUUUUAACUUGUUCUAACUGAAGAAAUGAAAGGGUUACUAAGUAUAUUUAUUCUCAUUAUCUCAAGAUACUACUACUACUACUACUACGGCAAGGAUAAUACAAGCUUAAGCUGUCCUUUCAUGCCUAUGCAGUCAAUUCCUAAUUCCCUCAAAUCUAAGCAGGUAUGCAGCACAAACAAUGUGACAGGACCAUGACUGUCAAAUUCCUCUUUUGGAAUACAUUUGAACAUUAAUUAGCCUAUGAAGUUAUGUUACUGCAGACUGAACAAACAUGAUCCUGAACUACUGGACAUCUUUAACAGACCGAUUCGCUUUUUAAAAGCUCCCGCAACACAAAAGCUGAAUUGCAAAUACAGUGGAGUCCAAAAGUAAAUGGUAAAUGGUCUGCACUUAUAUAGCGCUUUACACUGUGUCUCAUUCACCCAUUCACACACACGGUUGCAGAGCUGCCACGCAAGGCGCUAAAUUGUCAUCGGGAGCAACUUGGGGUUCGGUGUCUUGCCCAAGGACACUUCGGCAUGUGGAGUCACGUGGGCCAGGAAUUGAACCGCCAACCCUACGAUUAGUGGACAACCCGCUCUACCACCUGACCCACAGCUGCCCAGUCUGAGAGCACUAGUGAAAAGCUUCAAUUUUGCAUUCGUUUCUAAUUUAACACAACAAUUUUCAUUACAAAUGAUAUUAUUGACAACAACUUGAGUGAAAAGUAGAAUCUUUGAACUAUUUACAUGUUUCUUAGUAUUCUUGCUUUAAUGACAGCGUGCACUCGAGCUGACACGGACUCCACAAGUCGGUAUAUAAUAAUGCAGAUAAAUAAAUAAUACAUCAUGCAGAAUCUUCCAUAUUAAAUAUUCACGAUUUUGAACUUUUACUUUCUUUGUUUUAAAUAUUUCAAAAUUCUAAAACUUUCUGUUCAUUUCCAAUUGUAAAUAAAAAAAUUUUUAAAUCCCAGAUUUUCAAGGUGGUCUCAGACUUUUGGACCCCACUGUAGCUUCCUAUUCGCUAUACAUGUAUAGGUUCACUACACAAGAUAUGAUAUAGUGACCCCGUAGACUCCAAAUAAAGAGAACUUAAGAAAAAGAGUAACUCCAAACAAUGUCCUCUGAGAUUGCUAACUAAGGUGUACAUUUCAAACAUGAUAGAAGUAUAGCAUAAAUGAUUUGCAGAGACAUAUCUCUACAUCCAGUGACAAGCAUCAUUUAGGAAAUGGGUUUUAAUAUAUUUGUGCAAUGUGAAUAGAAGUAGAACAUGGGAUUGUAAAAUGUGGAUUUUGUGCCUUACAUAUAAUAUUAUAAAGUUGAAACUUAAACAAUAAAUCCAUCGUGACAGCCCUAUAUAGGACUGACAUACGCAAUCAUACAAACUAAAGCUACAAACUAAACCUUCAUAGUAUUCAUAUUCACUCCACUCCACAUAAAUAAAAAAGGUAAUCACCCAGAAAAAUCAAUGCCGAGGAAAAGUAGAGGCACAGGGCACGUGUAACAUAGCCCAGGUCCCCACAGUGAACACCUGCCUUUUUGGACUUUUAUUGGCCUAUAUCUUUUUUUAUAGUUAAUCGUCAUCAUCAUCAUCAUCAGAGGACAUCUGAAAUCCAAGAAAAAUGUCAGCGGUGAAGAAGCCAGCGAGCCGCUGAAGAUCUCAAUCCGAUCCAGUAUCUGUGGGAUGUGCUGGACAAACAAGUCCGAUCCCUGGAGGCCCCAACUCGCUACUUACAGGACUUAAAAGACCUGCUGGUAACAUCUUGGUGCCAGAUACCACAGCACACCUUCAGAGGUCUUGUGGAGUCCACGCCUCGACAGGUCAGAGCUGUUUUGGCAAUACAAGGGAGACCUACACAAUAUUAGUCAGGUGGUUUUAAUCUUAUGGCUGAUCAGUGUAUAGAAUAUAUUUAGAAAAUAUAUAUGCUAUAGUGAAGCUAAGUGCCAUUCAUUAAGAAAUGUAAAAAAAAACUGCUGUGGUACUGUAUAAGCAGAAAAAUACCAUUCAGGAUAUACUGUUAGAAGGAAACCUCUGGAUGUCAUUGAUUAUUUUAUAACAGCAUGUCCUAAAGUGUUUUAUUCCUUGCUGGCUCUCACACAAACACAACAACCACAGAGAUUAACACACAUGAUAUUCUGACUUUACUUAUUUGCCACAUCGAAAUUUCUGUCCUAAAAUGUUUAAUAGCAUUUUCCAAGCCCUUCGUUUUCAUGAGAGCAAUGCAGAACAUAAUUUUCAGUGAGCAAUAAUGAUGUGAGGAUCUCAAAUAUGUGCGUAGGCCUAUUUCAUAUUUAGCUCUGAUCACAAUGACAAUUAGGCAACGAUGCUUCACACAAAAGAAACAUUUCAUUAAAAUAUUAGAACCAUACAAGCUGCUGAUUAUUUGCCUGGGAGUAUGACAAAAGAGGGAAGAAGAAAAUAACAAAGGAUGCAAUUAAAACCUUUUAUUUAUUUAUUUAUUUAUUUAUUUUUAAAUAUUUUUUAAAAUAUAUUUGUGAGGCAGUGUCUGUCCCUCUCAUUAGGAACUGGAUUGGGUUCUCACUAAGCUGAAUCCCAUUACGAUGACCUUUACUCAUUACUUCAGCAUUACAGCAUGAGACACAUUCCUCUUUUCUAAUCAUAAUGAGGAGGCCAAUAUACAGACUAAUACAUAAUCUGAUCAGGGGCCUCAGUCUGCAAUUAAAGAGACCUUUUUAAAGUUCACCUCCAUUACAGGCUUGAAGCACUGUGAAUGACGCACUGGCUGGAACUUAAUAACAAACAUGCAGCCGUUAAUUAUGGCCUGUGUUUGUGUGGCUCGAAUGGUUUCGAAUUUUUCGAGAUAUGAUCCCCAGUUGUGACUCUGACACACUCAUAGAAAAACAUAGCUUAGUUAAUUUAGUUAAUUUAGCUGAAAUCAUAGGCAGGUGGGCUAACUUAAACAUACGGUGACACAUUUGUGAGUUUCUACUAGAAAGUGCUAAGAAAAGGCACUUAUUACACUGUCAGAAAAGUUGUGGUACAAUUCCUGCACACAUCUGAUAGAAAAUGAUUUCAAAUUACAGGGGUGUCAAGCUAUGGACAUUUUUCACUGUCAUGAUUUACUGAUACAGGAUUUAUUAUGCAGACUCUAACACCUGACUACAGCACUGUUUCAACAAUAAUGACAGUGAAGAAUAUUAGAUAUGAGCAGACUACUGUACUCACACUAACGGUAAUCACAACAGGACCAGCGAUUAUCAACACAGCUAAAUCCACAGCAGGAUCAAUGUGGCUUAAAUUACCCAUGGUUAAGAAACUGGUUCUCUGUUUCAAUAAAUUUUUUUUUAAAAAGCUCACAACGAUCCCAAGGGUUUGUGCUUUUAUGUCAUAGGAUACAGUAAUGCAGCAUGGCGUUUCAGCUAGAAAUACAGGCUUGAAUGUAUUUAGCAAGAUUUGUCUCAAAAUAUCUAAAUAUGAUAAUAGCCUCAAAAAAAGGUACGCCCUCGGAAGAAAAGACAAUAGUCUGGUGUGACCUCUACUUAAUAAUAGGUAGCUCUUCUGAUUGCCAACCAAAGAGACCAUAGUACCACCCAUUUCGUUUCUAUUGUCACAAUAACAAGGCUUGUGAAUUCACAGGUAAACAUUCACCUAGAUAAAGUCAUGGUGGAGUGGACAGAAGCAAAACAAAUCAUAAAUGCUAUGGCUAAACCAUAGAAGAAGUUGGCACUUUUGUACAGUGGACAUAAGAAGUCUGUUAAUAUGGCAGGUUUUUGUGAAGUCAAAAUAAUUACACUAAGAUAAAUCAUGUCAGAUCUUUUCUCCACCUUUAAUGUGUAAUUGGAAAGUAUACAAAUUAAGUGGAAAAACAAUCUGGAAUUUUUUAGGGAAAAAAAAACAAAAAAACAAAAAAACAAAAAAACUUACAAUAACCUACCUGCAUAAGUGUUCACACCCCUAAACUAAUACUUCGUUGAAGCCCCUUUGAAUUUGUGCAGAUUUUAUUAAACCACUCAGUCUUUUUGUGUAAGAGUCUAUCAGUGUGUCACAUCUUGUCUUGCCAAUAUUUUCCCACUCUUUCUUGCAAAAACAAAAACAUUCUAGAUCCAUCAAAUUGUGAGGGUAUCUCCUGUGUACAGCCUGCUUCAGGUCACCCCUGAGAUUUUUAGCGGGAUUCAGGUCUGGGCUAUAUCUAGAUAAUUCACUGAUCUUCUUUUGGUUAAGCCAUUCCUUUACUGAUCUUCAGCUUACUAGCAGACAGCUAAAAGUUUUGCACUAAAAUCAACUGGUAUUUGUAGCUAUUCAUGAUUCCCUCCACCUUGAUAAAAGCCCCAGCUUUAGCUGAAGAAAAGCAGCCCUAAAGCAUGAUGCUGCCACCACCAUGCUUCACCGUGGGCAUAGUGUUCUUUUGGUGAAGUGCAAUUUUUGGUGCCAAACAUACCUUUUGGAAUUAUUACUGCUCAUUUUGCCACAUGGUGUGAUUCAGUUGAGUUUGGAUGGUUUUUUUUUUGUGAGAAAGGGCUUCCGUCUAGCCACCCUACACCAUAACCCAGACCUGUGAUGAAUACGAGAGAUUGUUGUCACAUGCAGAGGGUAAUCAGUACUUGUCAGAUAUUCCUGCAGCUCCUACAAUAUUGUUUAAUGUUUAAGGGUGUGCACACUUAUGCAACCAUGAUAUUGCAACUUUAUUAUUUAUUUAUUUAUUAAAGCUUUAAUUUUUACAAGUUGUAAUUUCGCACUGAGGGUGGAAAAUGUUCUGAUAUGAUUUAUCUUUUUUCCAUAACAAAAACCUGCCAUUUUACCAAGGGUGUGUAGACUUUUAUAUAGACUGUAGAUGUAUGAAAGGUGCUAUAUAAAUAAACCAUAUUGUCAUUAAUUCAUCUUCAGUAACUGCCUUAUCCUGGUUAGGGUCAUGGUUAAUACAGGACCUAUACUGGGAACACUGGAUACGAGUCAUGAAUAUACCCUGGAUGGGCUUUUAUGGGAUGUGAUGUACACACAAAUUCACACACUCACUUACACCUUGUGCAAAUCCACCUACCAGCACCAGCAUGUUUUUGGGAGGUCGGUGGAAACUGGUGAACCCAGAGAAAACCAUACAUUUACAACAACAACACCAAUAAUUAUAAUAAUAAUAAUAAUAAUAAUACACUGACUCUCCCAAAGUAAGUGUGUUGAGAAUAUGUUUGAAACACACGAACUGAAAAUUGCCAAACUGAAUGAAGUAUAAGUUUAUAAGUAUAUGUUUUUGCUUGAGGAUUUACUGUAGACACUAAAUAUAGAAGCAUUACAUAGUACACCCAUAAGUAAUAAAAUAUUACAAUUGAAAAAAGGCUGAGCUCUUUUCACCACAAUCAUUUCAAACAAGCUUUGAAGCUGGGGGGCCUGCUGAGGGCACAAAUGCUUUUAAUCAAAAUGUCUUCAUGCCACACAGGCUCCUUUCACGAUGGCCAUGCAGACAUCAACUCAAGAUGGAGACAUUUCUCUGACAGCAUGCAUUAUUAAUAUCCAACUACAACUGUGGUAAUAAUUACAUUUAAUAGGUCCAUUCCCAUGCAAUUAACUCUCUCAUGCACACUGCUCGGUCACUACAACACAGGUAAAAGUCACUCCUAUAUAAUAGAGAGAUGCGACACUCUAAGAUUCCUCCAUACAUUUGUUAUGGUGCACAAUCCUGAUGGACCGACAAAGGCUCUGGAGUGGCCGAGCUCCUUUGCUGUGUUUACGUUGUAAGAAAUGAGACAAAACUGUGACCAAAUUCCUCACACUUCCUCCUUUCCACACCUCAUGGGCCAGUGGGUUUGGGUCCGCCACCGCCACGGCUCUGUGGAACUUUGGCUGUGUGCCUUCUCACCCCUUCACAGGUGUUUCCCAUUGCUGACUCGUACUCUCUUCGCACACACUGAAGAGCAACAUUGUUUUAAGUGUGAGGGUUGCAGGCCCCCUGCAGCAGGCACUGACAGGCCCAGAAGCCCAUGUUUAUCUGUAUGCAUAAAACCCACACUGCACGCUCUACUCUACACAGGCACAAGGGACGGCACAUGGUUUUAACAUUACUGUGACUUUAAGGGGCCAGAAAGAACCUUGUCUGGUCCUUUGACAACUUAAAUGGGCAUGGCUGAAGAUGCAACCAUGCAAACAGAGCACUUUCAUGGAUUGUCUAUACUCUAGAGAUUUUUUUUUUUAUUCAGUAAAUGCUUUAUCCUGGUCAGGGCCGUGGUGGAUCCCAAGUAUAUCCGUGGAAUACUGGACGUGAGGCAGGGACACACCCUCAAUGGGACUCCAGUCCAUCUCAGGACACACACACACACACACACACACAUUCAUUCACAGCUGGGGGUCAAUAUAGAGUAGCAUUGUUUUGGGAGGUGGGAGGAAACCAGAGAAAACCCACAAAGACACAGGGAGAACAUGCAAAACUCACAUACUGAAAAUUUACUCCAAAUCAUACUACUCUUUGGUUCAGCAUUGCGGUACUGCAAUUCUCAAAUGGAAUCUCACUGUUAUUGUGGAUAUAUUUGUAGAUAUAUUUCAUCCGGAGUCUCAGAAAGCUAGGGGUAUUUGCUCUUACUACGAUGUAACCUACAGACGAGUGACAAGUAAUGCCACCAACAGCAUUAAAAAAGACGUCGGAACUCCUCACUGUAGAGGACUUGUGGAGAACAUGGUGAAUGACUCAUCUGUGGUUUUUGCAGCACUGUACUCUCAAAUGUGCAAAUUUGCACUGAAACCCUACUGCAAUAUCCCUCUCUAGGUAGCGGUGGACAAAUUCCUCUUGCUGACAGUCUGAUCACAUCCUAUAUUAACAUUCUCAGUCAAUGACUAUGUGAUUUAAACCACAACAUCCAAUUCUAUUUACUGUCUUUCAAAUAGAUGUGAAUACAGAUAACUCUUUAGUCAUGGUUCCUAUUUAAUCAGAGCCAGCUAAGCAGCAUUUGUGACUGAAGCUCCUUCCAUCCGUACCCCAAUAAUAAACCCUGUUUCAAAGUCACUUUUGCAAGGUGGACUAGGCCUACUCAAGAAUCUUAUACUAUACAGAGUGUGGUAUGGGGUUAACUGCUUAAUUAUAUAAUUUUAUACCAGUGUUGUUGAAUUAAAUUUCUAUAACAGCACAACUCUGACAGUAGAGCUUUAAUUUAAACAAUAUUAAUUCAAAACAUAUUAAUGCACUCAUAUAAUACUAAUUUAAGUAUCUAAAUAAUAAUCUACAUAAACUAAGGCUGAUAAUAUGUGGACAUAUUUUAUAUAAUAAACAGACAUAUAUUAAAAAUAUAAUUGUAUAAUCAUUUUUGUAAGGAGAUUAACAUUUCAGUGUUUUAUAAUGGUUACUAAGUUUUCCUCCACAUGAGAGUCUUCAAGACAGAGGACAUUCUGGUUUCUCAGUAACACCUGGUCUUAGUGCUUUCAAUCCAAAUUUAAUUCCAUUUAUUGACUGAGAAAAAAAAGAGAUGAUGCUGUUUAUAGCUGCUAAUGUAAGUGAUAACUUGUCUCGCAGAUGAUCUAGAACAUUAAAUGUAACUAUAAACAGUUAGAAAGUAUAACGUGUCAUUCACUAACAAAUAAAAAUUGUAUUAGCUGGCAAAUCACUGCGGUGUAAGAGGAAUAAAUACUGUAGAUCAGAGAUUGACCAGAGUUUCCUUGGUGAUGCAGUUUUCAUAUAUGAUUAAACUGCGACAAUAAAAAUAGUCUAAGAGUCUAAAACUCUUUUAGUGUCGGUGAUUUUUCUGAGUAGCAUCAUGAAUCAUGCCUUUUUAUUCAUAAAUCAUGAAUAACCAGUAGUCAUUCAUGUAGUUAGAGUAUGGUAACAUUCAGUAUGCUUACAGGGACAAUAAUCCAAUAUUAACCCGAUAACAAUACUCUGAUUAAAAACUAGCAUGUAAACAGUGAUUAUUGAUUACCUUAAUCUGAUUAAAGUCAUACUCGAAGUAAACACGAAUCAAAUUAAGACAUGUGGAGUAUUCCUGUUUUAGUCGCAUUAUCGACGUGUAUUACAGACAUGUACACACCUUAAUCACAUUAUUAAUGUCGUGUGGGAGUUUUCACCACAUUUUGCGACAGGACACGUACACACACGCAGCGCUCAACCGUUGACGGCAAACAAGAGAGCACGGCUGCGUCCCAAACCACGUACUUAACUGCUAUAUAGUAGGAGAAAUACAUAUGUUUCAGCUAAUAUAUAGUAGGUAAGUAUGUGGUUUAGAACACAGUCCACGGCUUCAAGCAGUCGUCUAUUAGCACGUAUGGCAUGACAAAUAAAUAACUGCACUUGAAACUUUUGUAAAAUUAAAAAUGAAACACCCAAAACUGUAUACGGUACCAUAACGAAGACGAACGGUACGUCGAUACGUGAAAUUCUGGAGGGGACGUCGGGCGGUGUGGCGUAGGGACGUAAUGACGUGUGCCGUUAAUCGAGUUAUGUUCUAUAACAUGUAAAACAGGAACAUGAAAGGAGCAUUCUAAAAGCGCCUCGUGUAAACACCUUAAUCAUAAUAUUGUCUUAUUCAGAAUAAGGUCAAUAAUUAGAUUAGUGCUGUGCAUGUAAACGUAGUCAGUAACAGUGCAUCUAGAAACCUAACAAGUUUAUCAGUUCAGUUGACCCUCUGGGGAACCCUUAAAGGUUCUACAUAGAACCCUACAACAGAGCAUCUCCCAAUCAGAGAGAGUUCCAAUGCCGUUCCACAGUGGAAAAUCUUUACCUCUCCAAGGGAUUCAUGAGGAACCCAUAAGAGUGUAGGGCUGCACAAAAGGGACAAAACUACUAAACAUAGUCUGUGGACCAAAAUAAUUCACACCAAUAGCAAGAUUUAUUAAGGGGAAAAAACCCCAAAGAAAACAUAACUGGAACAUGUCUGUAAUUAGUCAGAACGAUCACAGAACAUAAUACAAAUCUGCGGUUUGUUUAGAAUUUUGCAAAAAGCCAAUUGUGAGAUAAUAAUUAACAAACAAUAUACCGGGCAGCCCUAGGAUACAAUGAAAGUUUCUUUCAGUAUGAUGUGAAGCACACUUUAGAACGUACGGAUAAUAUAACCCACAAUCAUAUGUGUAAAUCAACAGCACCUACACCAGCAAUUAAGUAAAGACCAGGCAUUGGCUAAUAGCAUAUUGGAAUGAUAUCAUUGUUUUCUCUGCAGUUUGGGUGAAUCAUUAGUUCACCUCUGAAUGCCUAUAAUGUGGGUAAUUGCGGGACAGCUGCUUCCUUGCUACACCGGUGUCAAAGAUACAAGGAUCCACUGUAGGCGGUCUGCUCCUGUUUUAGCCACCUACCUUUCAAGUGCACUCACAACAUAUAGGCAGCACCUCUGACACGCCAGUGAAAGCAGGAGCGCCUGACUGAGAUUGCUCAGUAAUUCUGGCCACAUGAUUGACUUUAUGAUCGCUUUAGUAGCGCAACCAGUCGUUAUGCUUUCAACCCAUGCCAAAAGUUUCCUGUGAGAAAGUGAUGGGGAAUUAGGAGGGGAGGGGGUGGGGUAAGUGGGGGAGGGCUGGGGGUUGCAUUCAAGCACUCUGUUGAAGAGCGUGCAAAGCCAUUCCUUCAUAGACCCUCCUUCGUACACUUUUAAUGGCACAGAAUUAUUGGCCUGGGUGGAACGCAACCAAUGUCUUGGUUUAAAGCACCAUACGUUGACAGGAGUGACACGGCCAUUUUCCCGUGCUCCAUUAGUGCAGAGAAGAGCCAGCCCUAGUGCUCUUAAAAGGCCUGAGCAUGAACGCAAGCACAUCGGCUCCUUCACCAUUAUCCUCUGAUGGCUGUUAUUUUCAUAUUGACAAAUUGGUAAAACUGUCAUGCUAGUCAUACUGCGUGUCAUACUAGUGUUUUAUAUAUGUUCUGUAUGGAAAGAAUUCUGUCACGUGUGUGACUCAUUAUGAAAUCAUACUGUCGGUAUAGCUGCAUAUUAAACCUUAUAUCACAUGGUUAUCUACAGAGGUUGUAAAAGAAAACAGAUAGGAUUAAAAGGACAUUUUUAUCUACUUCAUGUAAACAGAUCUUUGAUUUGAUACAUGAUGGAUUACUUAAUAGUACUUACUGUUGUGAUUGAUGCUGUUUAUUAUUAUUUUUGGAAUAAUCAGUUACAGUAAAUUCAUUUCAAUGUUUUCCUUACCAUAGGAAAGGCUUAGGUGUGGCACCUAAGUGUUUUUGUGGCGCACCUUAAGCCGAAUUAACAUAAAAAGGCAUUCAUUUUCAUUAAAUCUCAAAUGUGUUAUUUGGUGAAAUGAAUAGACCUUUAACUGUAAGUAGAAUAAGUGUUGUCAGCUUUCUUUCACAAAUACGGUAAGGAUAAUGAAUAAUGUUAAGGUUCAUGAAUGAAUAAUGUAUGAUAAUAAAACUUAAAAUAACUUCAAAUUUCAUAAUCAUUUCUUAAUAACUUCAAAACCCCCAACCAUUACCACCCUCCCGAACCCAGUCAGCACCUAAGCCCUCUCAAAACCUAGAGAGACCCCUGCAUUUCAAUUUGUUUUGAUCCCUUGAAGUGAAAAGUAAUUAGUAGACAAAAAUGAUGCUUUAAUUCUUUUAAUGUGCAGAUUCUGGCAUCUGCUUGACGGUUUUGCUUUAAUUUAUAAAGAAAUCAGACAAGGGGGAUUUCUGAGAUCCUGAAACCCUGACAGUGAAAGUCUCUGCUGGUUUAUAUGCAGGCUUUGGAGAGUAAUAACGCAUCUUUCAGCAGGAAAACUCCACAACUGUGGGCUCCUAUCAGACGAGAGCUAUGGGAAAGCGCUGCUCCACGGAGAGUACAGAGAUGCACCGGCGGUUUUGGAUCUACAGGACGUGUGUAUAUGUUUGCAUAUGUCCAUGUAUACAUCUGAGAAUUAUUGGGUUUUCAUCACCAGAUGCUUUCAAAGCGGCACAUCAUUAAAGUUUCCUCAUCAGAAAAAAAAAAGAAAGAAAAAGAAAAAGAAAAAGAAAGACAUUGUUCUUCUGUAGCUAUCUGCUAUUUCUAUUUCCUUCUACUUCUCUUCCUGGCACAUGAGUUGGCAAGCGAGACUUUCUUUUACAGCACAACUGCACUGGCUCCCUGACAGCACAGCAGCUCCAGAGAUGGCGCAUUCUGCUGCUGUCUAAAGGGACCCAGCUUCUCUUUCAUAAAUCCCUCAAACAUGUCUGCAGCAUUUCUAGACGACAUCAUUAAUGCUGCACUGAAAACGCCAGCGUUGGUCCAAAGCGAGGCUCGGGAGCGCCCCAGAGCCUUCUGAAACUGUACAUCAGUGUAUGAUGUUUUGGCAAACCCAUAGCUUCCACAAGCUCUUAUACCAACUGGAAAACCCGGGCCAGCCCUCAGCGGCAGCAUCCCCCGAUGAGAGGCUAAUCCGUAAUUACCACACAGAGAUGAUUAGUUACUCCAAAGCCUAAUAAAUUUCAUUUAGGCUCUGCAGCUGGCAAGGGAAAUGCAGAUAGGAUAGAAUGAGAGGCUGGUGAACCUUCUUGGUGAUCCAUGAUUUAGUGAUGCUGCUAAAAAAAAAAAAAACAAGUUCUCCCUGUUAGUGUGUCCCAGCUAGGAUGUAU
ensembl:lncRNA